CCCUUAGAUGUUCUGGGCCGCACGCGUGCUACACUGAGUGGAUCAGCGGGUCAGGUUGCGCGAAAGUGUUUCCUAAUCUUUAAAUCCGCUCGUGAUGGGGAUUGACGGUUGCAAUUUUCCGUCAUGAACGAGGAAUACCUUGUAAGCGCGGGUCAUCAUCCCGCGCUGAAUACGUCCCUGCCCUUUGUACACACCGCCCGUCGCCCCUACCGAUUGAGUGGUCCGGUGAGGCUUUGGGAUCUGAGCGGAAAGAGCGUUUCGCUGUUUCUGCUCGGAAAACUCAGUCGAACCUUAUCAUUUAGAGGAAGGAGAAGUCGUAACA
rnacentral:rRNA from 1 species